rnacentral:rRNA from 1 species
AGGACGAACGCUGGCGGCGUGCUUAACACAUGCAAGUCACGGGGGCCCGCAAGGGCAACCGGCGAACGGGUGCGUAACACGUGAGCAACCUACCGAUCUAUGGGGGAUAGCCGGGCUAACGCCCGGGUAAUACCGCAUACGCUUCUUUGGGGAGUCCCGAAAGAAGGAAACCUCCGGGGUGGAUCGAGGGGCUCGCGGCCUAUCAGCUAGUUGGUGAGGUCAAGGCUCACCAAGGCGACGACGGGUAGCU